AGGACAGUGUUCUGGGGCAAUGGACUCAUAAUCCGUUGGUCGUGGGUUCGAGCCCCACCCGUCCCAC
rnacentral:tRNA from 1 species